rnacentral:rRNA from 1 species
UACGUAGGGUCCGAGCGUUGUCCGGAAUUACUGGGCGUAAAGAGCUCGUAGGUGGUUUGUCGCGUUGUUCGUGAAAACUCACAGCUCAACUGUGGGCGUGCGGGCGAUACGGGCAGACUAGAGUACUGCAGGGGAGACUGGAAUUCCUGGUGUAGCGGUGGAAUGCGCAGAUAUCAGGAGGAACACCGGUGGCGAAGGCGGCUCUCUGGGACGGUACUGACGCUGAGACGCGAAAGCGUGGGGAGCAAACAGG